UUAGCAUGGAGAUCACGAAGUCUGCUUUCCCCGAGUGUUCUGGGAGAAAACACAAGAACAGCUCAGAAAUGCUGGUGUCAUUCCUCCCCUGGAACAAAUGACCGGAAGGAGCGAGGGUGUUACAAACGUGAGGCAGACUGCAAGUGCUAAAACUGGGUCUGUACCUACUGUCAAGGUAGCAGAGUUCCUGCCACACUGUGUCUAGAGGACUACAUAGCGACAGCUAAUAGGAGAGCAACAGCAAGGCAAAUGAGAAUGAGAGACACAGACUGCUUCUGCAUACAUUUGUCUAUACAUUACUCAUUGCGGUCUAUGCUGCAUUGAGUAGCAGCUAGGAUCAAACUCGGGCUAUAAAAAGGAGAAUACUGGUAUAACACAUGAGGAUCUGGCCUCACAGAAUAAGACUUCAAAGGUACAAGUAAAACAAGAAUGGCCAUGACAACACUGCAAGUUACUUUUCAGUUAAGAUUACCCUUACAUUACAGGUUCGCUGCAGUGAUUCCAAGAAGUCAAUAACUGACACUUUCAGAAAAGAAUAAAGUACUACAGUACUUCUAGAUUAAAUUUUCAGGAGCACUCUGGCUCAAAUUUCACCUUCACUGAAUGAAUGCCAGCUGAAAAAGAAAAGCCAGCUUGAAAUAAAAUUGUGAAGAACAGUCACAAUAGGCAGAAGUGUUGCUUUAGAAUGUUCUGCCUA